rnacentral:rRNA from 1 species
GGACUACCGGGGUAUCUAAUCCUGUUUGAUCCCCGCACUUUCGUGUUUCAGUGUCAGUAAUAGUUUGGCGGACUGCCUUCGCGAUCGGUGUUCUAUGACAUAUCUAAGCAUUUCACCGCUACAUGUCAUAUUCCAUCCGCCUCAACUACACUCAAGAAUAACAGUAUCUAUGGCAGUUCCCCGAUUGAGUCGGGGGCUUUCACCACUGACUUAUUACCCCACCUGCACACCCUUUAAACCCAGUGAAUCCGGAUAACGCUUGCAUCCUUCGUAUUACCGCGGCUGCUGGCAC